rnacentral:rRNA from 1 species
UACAGAGGGGGCAAGCGUUGUUCGGAAUUACUGGGCGUAAAGGGCGCGUAGGCGGCCUUCUAAGUCGAACGUGAAAUCCCCGGGCUCAACCCGGGAACUGCGUCCGAUACUGGAAGGCUUGAAUCCGGGAGGGGGAUGCGGAAUUCCAGGUGUAGCGGUGAAAUGCGUAGAUAUCUGGAGGAACACCGGUGGCGAAGGCGGCAUCCUGGACCGGUAUUGACGCUGAGGCGCGAAAGCCAGGGGAGCAAACGGG